GCCGCACUGCUUGUGGGAGUGGAAAUUGGGGGCCAGAGCUCACUGGUGACGUGGUCGUCACGUGACCAAGAGCUGCCUAGAGCAGAAGUCCUGCUAGUCGCCUCCGUCUGGGUACCAGCCCCCUAUUACUCUGCAGGCGUGCGAAGGAAGAAGGAAACUAGCCCCGGACCGCGAGUUCUCCAAAGCCAGCUAUCUGUGUUUCCGACCUUCUGCCAGACUGUCCAUCAAUCUCCCUGGAAGGAGCACUGACAACAGAAGACGAGGGAAGAAGAAGAAAUUUACCUGAUUUUGGUAAAUUGGUUUGGUGGGAGAAACCUGCCUGUGAAGCUUUGGGGGAGGGGUUGGUGGUGGAGGAAGCAUGUUUGCUUUUCCUUGUCACCCUCCUGGCUAUCAUAGCACAGCCCCAUCCCCUGCCCUUUUCUGUAGGGCCUGUUAGAGAAAUGGUGGGUCCUGAGGAUAGAUAGAGGAUGACAAAAAGGAACAAAUAAAUAGUUUCCUAAUAAUCCA
rnacentral:lncRNA from 1 species